UACGAAGGGAGCUAGCGUUGUUCGGAAUUACUGGGCGUAAAGGGCGCGUAGGCGGACAGUUUAGUCAGAGGUGAAAGCCCAGGGCUCAACCUUGGAAUUGCCUUUGAUACUGGCUGUCUUGAGUUCGGGAGAGGUGAGUGGAAUGCCGAGUGUAGAGGUGAAAUUCGUAGAUAUUCGGCGGAACACCAGUGGCGAAGGCGACUCACUGGCCCGAUACUGACGCUGAGGCGCGAAAGCGUGGGGAGCAAACAGG
rnacentral:rRNA from 1 species